rnacentral:rRNA from 1 species
UCAGGCCUAACACAUGCAAGUCGAGCGGUAGCGGGAAGAGCUUGCUCUUUGCCGACGAGCGGCGGACGGGUGCGUAACACGUAGGAAUCUGCCUGGUAGUGGGGGAUAGCCCGGAGAAAUCCGGAUUAAUACCGCAUACGCCUUACGAGGGAAAGGAGGGGACUCUUCGGAGCCUUUCGCUAUCUGAUGAGCCUGCGUCGGAUUAGCUUGUUGGUGGGGUAAAGGCCUACCAAGGCGACGAUCCGUAGCUGGUCUGAGAGGAUGAUCAGCCACACUGGGACUGAGACGCGGCCCAGACUCCUACGGGAGGCAGCAGUGGGGAAUAUUGCACAAUGGGCGAAAGCCUGAUGCAGCCAUGCCGCGUGUGUGAAGAAGGCCCUAGGGUUGUAAAGCACUUUCAGUGGGGAGGAAAGGUUGAAGGUUAAUACCCUUCAGCUGUGACGUUACCCACAGAAGAAGCACCGGCUAACUCCGUGCCAGCAGCCGCGGUAAUACGGAGGGUGCGAGCGUUAAUCGGAAUUACUGGGCGUAAAGCGUGCGUAGGCGGCCACCUAAGUUGGAUGUGAAAGCCCCGGGCCCAACCUGGGAACUGCAUCCAAAACUGGGUGGCUAGAGUACGGGAGAGGAGUGUGGAAUUUCCUGUGUAGCGGUGAAAUGCGUAGAUAUAGGAAGGAACACCAGUGGCGAAGGCGACACUCUG